rnacentral:lncRNA from 1 species
UGAAACUACUGGGCCAAAUUAAUCCAAACUUGGCCACAAUCAUCAUUGGGGUAUCUAGUUUAAAAAAUGUGUGGCGUGACCCGGCCAACCAACCAAGAUGGCCGCCAUGGCUAAAAAUAGAACAUAGGGGUAAAAUGCAGUUUUUAGCUUAUAACUCAAAAACCAAAGCAUUUAGAGCAAAUCUGACAUGGGGUAAAAUUGUUUAUCAGGUCAAGAUCUUUCUGCCCUCAAAUUUUCAGAUGAAUCCGACAACCCGUUGUUGGAUUGCUGCCCCUGAAUUGGUAAUUUUAGGGAAUUUUUGCUGUUUUUGGUUAUUAUCUUGAAUAUUAUUAUAGAUAGAGAUAAACUGCAAACAGCAAUAAUGUUCAGCAAAGUUAGCUUUACAAAUAAGUCAACAGGACCAAAAUGGUCAGUUGACCCCUUUAGGAGUUAUUGACCUUUAUAGUCAAUUUUUAACCAUUUUUCGUAAAUCUUAGAAAUCUUUUACAAAAAUCUUCUCCUCUGAAACUACUGUGCCAAAUUAAUCCAAACUUGGCCACAGUCAUCUUUGGGGUAUCUAGUUUAAAAAAUGUGUGGCGUGACCCGGCCAACCAACCAAGAUGGCCGCCAUGGCUAAAAAUAGAACAUAGGGGUAAAAUGCAGUUUUUAGCUUAUAACUCAAAAACCAAAGCAUUUAGAGCAAAUCUGACAGGGGUAAAAUUGUUUAUCAUGUCAAGAUCUUUCUGCCCUCAAAUUUUCAGAUGAAUCCGACAACCCGUUGUUGGGUUGCUGCCCCUGAAUUGGUAAUUUUAGGGAAUUUUUGCUGUUUUUGGUUAUUAUCUUG